UGUCUUCUUCAGAUCCUCCUGCAGUUGGACUCCUGAGGAGAGGAACAGGGGGAAUCUGCAGCUCAGAGAAAGGCUACUGUAUUGCAGGAUAUCUGCAGCCUCCACUGUCAGUGUGAGGAUUCAGAUUGCUAUCGGCUCAGAAUACAAAAGAUCUGUGAGCUACUUUGAAUACAAAUCACAAGAAGUGUGAACAGCAGCGAAGGGGGCUCUUCAGUGAAGAAUGGCUAUUGAAAUGAGGCAGAAGAAUGCCAAAGAGAUAAAGAGAAGAAUGAGCACCGCUGUUCAGUCAACACCAAGUCCUCCAGUUCCAACUCAUCCCAGGCCCCCUCAGCAAGUCAGCACGGGAUCAUUUUUCAUAAUGAUACCUCUGUUCAAAUAUCACCUACUUUUCAUUUGUUUUUUUUCCAAAAAAUUCAGCCUUUGUUGUAGAAGCUGCCUUUGGGUGUUGCCAAUGCACACACUGUUUUUGGGUAACUUAAAUAGCAUUAAUCUCUUAAAGGUAAUCUCUUGUCUGAGCACUGAAAAGUGGUUAAUGUAUUUCAGCUUAGCACAGAAGAACUUUGUGUGCUUGUCAAUCAAUUGUAGACAGACACUUGUGGGAGUGUGACCAUUAUCUGUUCUCAUGUUUGCAUCUUUGUAGUCUUCCUUUUCACUAGUUUGAUUUAGAGCACCAACACAUCCCUUACUUACUAAAGUAGUGUUUUUUCAUUAUUCAUUACUAUUAUUCACACUGAAUCUGUGGUUCUGUAAAUAUUGAAUCUACUUUGUG